GAUGAAGAACGCAGCGAAAUGCGAUACGUAAUGUGAAUUGCAGAAUUCAGUGAAUCAUCGAGUCUUUGAACGCACAUUGCGCCCCCUGGUAUUCCGGGGGGCAUGCCUGUCCGAGCGUCAUUGCUGCCCUCAAGCACGGCUUGUGUGUUGGGCCUCCGUCCUCCUCCCGGGGGACGGGCCCGAAAGGCAGCGGCGGCACCGCGUCCGGUCCUCGAGCGUAUGGGGCUUCGUCACCCGCUCUUGUAGGCCCGGCCGGCGCUUGCCGACACAUCAAUCUUUUUUCCAGGUUGACCUCGGAUCAGGUAGGGAUACCCGCUGAACUUAAGCAUAUCAAUAAGCGGAG
rnacentral:misc_RNA from 1 species